AAUGCGUAGAUAUAUGGAGGAACACCAGUGGCAAAGGCGGCUCUCUGGUCUGUAACUGACGCUGAGGCUCGAAAGCGUGGGGAGCGAACAGGAUUAGAUACCCUGGUAGUCCACGCCGUAAACGAUGAGUGCUAAGUGUUGGAGGGUUUCCGCCCUUCAGUGCUGCAGCAAACGCAUUAAGCACUCCGCCUGGGGAGUACGACCGCAAGGUUGAAACUCAAAGGAAUUGACGGGGGCCCGCACAAGCGGUGGAGCAUGUGGUUUAAUUCGAAGCAACGCGAAGAACCUUACCAGGUCUUGACAUCCUUUGACCACUCUAGAGAUAGAGCUUCCCCUUCGGGGGCAAAGUGACAGGUGGUGCAUGGUUGUCGUCAGCUCGUGUCGUGAGAUGUUGGGUUAAGUCCCGCAACGAGCGCAACCCUUAUUGUUAGUUGCCAUCAUUUAGUUGGGCACUCUAGCGAGACUGCCGGUGACAAACCGGAGGAAGGUGGGGAUGACGUCAAAUCAUCAUGCCCCUUAUGACCUGGGCUACACACGUGCUACAAUGGGAAGUACAACGAGUUGCGAAGUCGCGAGGCUAAGCUAAUCUCUUAAAGCUUCUCUCAGUUCGGAUUGUAGGCUGCAACUCGCCUACAUGAAGCCGGAAUCGCUAGUAAUCGCGGAUCAGCACGCCGCGGUGAAUACGUUCCCGGGCCUUGCACACAC
rnacentral:rRNA from 1 species